rnacentral:rRNA from 1 species
CACGUAGGGCGCGAGCGUUGUCCGGAAUUAUUGGGCGUAAAGAGCUCGUAGGCGGUCUGUUGCGUCCGCUGUGAAAACCCAGGGCUUAACCCUGGGCUGGCAGUGGAUACGGACAGACUAGAGGUAGGUAGGGGAGAAUGGAAUUCCCGGUGUAGCGGUGAAAUGCGCAGAUAUCGGGAGGAACACCGGUGGCGAAGGCGGUUCUCUGGGCCUUACCUGACGCUGAGGAGCGAAAGCGUGGGGAGCGAACAGG